AGCCCUAAGCGGGUGGUAAACUCCAUCUAAGGCUAAAUAUGACCACGAGACCGAUAGCGAACAAGUACCGUGAGGGAAAGUUGAAAAGCACUUUGAAGAGAGAGUUCAAGAGUACGUGAAACCGUUUAGGGGUAAACCUGAGAAACCCGAAAGGUCGAAGGGAGAAAUUCAGUCGCGUUUCGCCGUGGGCGUGAGACGGGUUGAGCGACGGAGGGCGUUUCGGCGCGUCUCCGCGCCUCCCGUUUUUCGAUCCCGCGACGAACGCGUGCACUUUUCUCCUGGUAGGACGUCGCGAUCCGUUGAGCGUCGGCCUAAGGCUCGCGGAGGAGCCCGGACGUACGGCGCGAGCCGUCUCACGUCCGGACCCGCGUGUUAUCCCGGCCGACUUGCUCGACGGUAUGCGAACGGUUAAAGGCCGCUACAUUUUUAGCGUUCGGCUCGCGACAAGCGCGUCAGAUGCGUCGGCCAUCGGACCCGGUGCCGAUUCUGACCUCUGGCGACUGUUGGUCGCGAAGUUCUCGAACAGACCUUUACGCUCUCCGGAGCUAAACCGAUCUGCGACGCUAUAGCUUUGGGUACUUUCAG
rnacentral:rRNA from 1 species